GUGAGACCCUUUCUCAAAAUAAAAAGUAAGGGGCUGAGGUUGUAGUUCAGCUGUAUAGCACUUGCCUAGCACGUGUGAGGCACUAGGUUUGAUCCUCAGCACUACAUUAAAAAAAUAAAAAUAAAGGUUAUUGUGUCCAUAUAUAUAAAGAGCUGGAGAUGUGGCUCAGUGGUAAAAUGCCCCUGGGUUCAAUCCCCAGUACAAAAAAAAAAAAAAAAAAAAAAAAUUUUUUUUUUUAAGACCCUAGGUCCCAAGAGAUCCCAGUUUAGAGACUGGACUGCUCCUUGGGGAAGUCUUCUUUUCUCUCCCAUCUCUUCCCCUUCUAACAGGAACCAGUGACUCUCCCGUGCAUGUCCUGCUGUGACCCUCUGAGCCCCACUGAUAACCAUCACAGUCAGAUACUAUCCCUAGAGAGUCACUUCCCUGCUUGCUCUUUCUCUCCUGGUUUCUACUAGUUGAUAGAUGAUAUCUAUCAACUUCUACACCUGACAGGGGACCUGGCUUCUGUCUUGCUCUGGCUCUGACUGGCUCAGUGACUUGAAGCAAUUUCCACCUCUUCUCUGGGUCUCAGUUUCCCCAUCUGUAAAUUGAGGCCCACCGUGUCCUUUUCAACACUAAUAUUCUAGGAUUCAAAUUGCAAGAUUCAGCCACAAGAAUCUCUACUGGAAGGUGUUGGGGGGGCUGGCCUGGACCAUAUCCCCAGGGCUUGCGUGCACCAUCUGCCAGUUUCUGCCAGAAACUGAAAGGCACCUUUCUGCUUUCCUAACUGUGUGUCCAUAGCCCAGUUUCUAUUAAUUGACAGAGGAUAAGAUGUUUGGAGAAUUAAAAGGUCAAAGUACUUAACAAUGCUGCCUAGC
rnacentral:lncRNA from 1 species